rnacentral:rRNA from 1 species
UACGUAGGGGGCUAGCGUUGUCCGGAAUCAUUGGGCGUAAAGAGCGUGUAGGCGGCCCGGUAAGUCCGCUGUGAAAGUCGGGGGCUCAACCCUCGAAUGCCGGUGGAUACUGUCGGGCUAGAGUGCGGAAGAGGCGAGUGGAAUUCCUGGUGUAGCGGUGAAAUGCGCAGAUAUCAGGAGGAACACCGGUGGCGAAGGCGGAUCUCUGGGCCAUUACUGACGCUGAGGAGCGAAAGCGUGGGGAGCGAAACAGG